UCUGCAUCACCCCCAUGCCUGCAUCAUGCCCACAUCUGCAUCACCCCCAUGCCUGCAUCAUGCCCACAUCUGCAUCACCCCCAUGCCUGCAUCAUGUCCACAUCUGCACCGUGCUCACGCCUGGCCUGCCCAUUCCGCCCCAGGGACUGAUGCUUUCGAUUUUUAUCAGUGGCUUUUGUUUUGCUGGUUUGUUUUAUCUGUUUGGUGAUUGAUGGAUAGCUGAAGAGACGGCUCCACUGAGCGUCACCUGACACCACAAUGCAUCAAGUCUGGCAAGCUCCUCUUCUGGGCUGUCUUCCUUACCAGCUGCAAUUGGUCUAAGGCAGCAGAUCAGCUUCCCAACUGGCUCAGGUUCCAGCAGUCAUUACAAUGGGCACUCGGACCCUCACCUAUGGAAAGGUGCCAUUGCACAAAUGGCCUUUCUGCAGCACACCUGUUAAAGUGCUACCUACUUAGUACACUUCACUGCUCUACUUGUUGGGAAAUUCUGACGGCAUUGCAGAGGGUCCAGAGGAGAAUGAAGGCACCAACCAAUCUCUGCAUCCCUUCCUGCCUGGGGUCACACGUGACCGACUGUGUCACACUCCCACUGCCCUGUCCUCCCCACUGUGAUGGACUAUGCACCGGUGAGCCAUGAGCCACAACAAACCCACUGUUUAAGUGCCUUUGUCACGUCAAUGCAGCAGAGACUGCGGUGGGUGGUCUGAGCUCCAUGGUGUGUACCUAUCAUGUCCACCGGGCGAGGCAGGGCUGGCAGUGACAGGAGAAGGGAACACAGGACCUAAAAGGAUAGGGGUGAUGGAAGAUGAAAAAAAAAACCACUUCAAGGGAACCAAAGACAAACUAAAAGGUGAUUUCUGUGAAGAUCUGAGAAAACAGCUAAAGAUUUUCGAGGAAAAAAACUAGAGAAUGUAAGCCCCUUCUUAGGGAACUUGGCUGUGAAAAGAAGAACGUCCAAGUCAGGUGGGCACAUGCCACAGUCUCUCUGUGAUGUGGUCCCAGCGGGCGCUUGUCCCAGCCUCCACUGUAUGCCUCAGGGUCCAGCCUCAGGCCUUGGAUUUGCCUUGCUUGCCCCCCUCGUUCUUACUCUUCUUCCUGCCUACAGAGGCUGCCUGUUUGCUGCUGGUGUUUGAACAUAUUCUUGGGUAUCCACACACCCACCUAUCUCAUUUCUGCUUGAAUGAUGAAUCUCAAACCACUGAUCUUACUCCAAACCUGCCUCUCCCUCUGCCACCCACCCUACCUCACUGAAUGGGUAUCGCAGUCUUCGAGUGACUCACCCCCAUUUCAGUGUGUCAUCUUAGGUCUUCUCUUCAUGACAUACCUACAUUUGAGCACCUUUUAACACAUGUGUCCAGGUUUCUCUACCUUCAUCCCAGCCACCUUGGUGGAGGCUCCUAUCACAUCAUUGGUCCAGAUUCCUUCCGGAGGAGAACUUGACGCUAUCAUCUUCCCUCAUCCACACAAUGACUGCUCUCAGCACAUCUUCCUUCAGACACCCCCAUGGCCGACAUCCUAGGUGUUUGGAACUGACACACAAAUAUUAACCGCCAUAAAGAGAGUCUCUGGCUGCUUUCAGAACACAAGAAUCUUGCCCCGUCACUACAAAGCUCAGCACCAGAAGCUUGUUCUUUGUCCACAUGGGCAAGUGGAAACUUUAACCUUUAGUUGUGUUGAGACUCAACAAUGACAACAAUAGGAGAA